rnacentral:rRNA from 1 species
AGAAUCAACGCUGGCGGCGUGCCUAACACAUGCAAGUCGAACGAGAAAGUGGAGCAAUCCAUGAGUAAAGUGGCGACCGGGUGAGUAACACGUGACUAACCUACCUUUGAGUGGGGGAUAACAUCGGGAAACCGAUGCUAAUACCGCAUAACAUCGCAAGAUCAAAGCAGCAAUGCGCUUAAAGGAGGGGGUCGCGGCUGAUUAGCUAGUUGGCGGGUAACGCCCACAAGGCGAAGAUCGGUA